GUCAUUUUAUAGUAAUAGAAAAUCAGCAAGACGAAUAAACAACACGCUCUGUGAGAAUAUGCCACCACGGUCAGGUGCAAUUUCUGUCCUCGUGACGUCUCAGUGGCGUCUCAUUAACUUCACAUUGCAUCUCAUAACCAGCUGUGAGUAAAGGCCCAGGGUGCCUAGGAGGGACACAGCUCAGGAAAAAUACAGGCAGCUGUUGAGGUGAGGCAGGAUCAUGGAGGCAGGCAGCGGCACUGCUGCAGCGCCACACAACGCGGCUCCCACACCUCCAGGAGACAUGGCAAUUCCCGAUCCCCUCCACGGGUGAGUCGUAGCUUCCCUUGCUGUCUAAAGCCUGAGACUCCUCUUCAGUUUGUGUUGUGGAGGAUUAUGAUUAGUCAUGCUGUUUAGUGUGUG
ensembl:lncRNA